CCGCGUGGNGGAUGACGGCCUUCGGGUUCNAAACCUCUUUCAGCAGGGACGAAGCGCAAGUGACGGUACCUGCAGAAGAAGCACCGGCCAACUACGUGCCAGCAGCCGCGGUAAUACGUAGGGUGCAAGCGUUGUCCGGAAUUAUUGGGCGUAAAGAGCUCGUAGGCGGUUCGUCGCGUCGGCUGUGAAAUCCCGAGGCUCAACCUCGGGUCUGCAGUCGAUACGGGCGGACUGGAGUUCGGCAGGGGAGACUGGAAUUCCUGGUGUAGCGGUGAAAUGCGCAGAUAUCAGGAGGAACACCGGUGGCGAAGGCGGGUCUCUGGGCCGAUACUGAUGCUGAGGAGCGAAAGCGUGGGGAGCGAACAGGAUUAGAUACCCUGGUAGUCCACGCCGUAAACGUUGGGCGCUAGGUGUGGGGGCCAUUCCACGGUCUCCGUGCCCGCAGCUAACGCAUUAAGCGCCCCGCCUGGNGAGUACGGCCGCAAGGCUUAAAACUCAAAAAAAUUGANGGA
rnacentral:rRNA from 1 species